AUGGGCCUUCUGUCAAGGACAGCUUUAGUCACCUACGGAAGUCAGCUUAAGAGCUGUGUGUUGUAGGCAGAGGAACUAUAAGGGCAGGACUGUGCAAGUCCUUUGGAGUCUAGAUAAUGCCAUCAUGAACCAAAAUACUAGACAUGGAGAGAUAAGCUGGUCGGUUGGCCAGAGUUUCUCAUCAAGGAGUACAUGCUGUUUGCUCCCCAGAUGGACAGCCUGGAUGAGCUACAAAUCCAUGGAGCCUGGGACACAAGGAUGCUAUUCACACUGUUUUAGACGUCACCCUAAUAGCUGACCCAUCAGUGAACUUCUACUCUUCAUUGAAAAUUUUGAGGGUCCCUUGAUGAACAGCCAACAUUUUGCUAUACUGGGUGGCCAACACAACUCUGAAAAUCUCUGUUUGCCUGCUCUCCAAUGCUGUGGUUACAAGUGGAAGCUCCAAUAACCAUCCUUCUGAAGUGUACUCUCCACAAAAUCACCAAGUCGCGUGUUCCUUGACCCUCUGACAAUAACUGUCCAUAUGGAAUGCUUCAGUAGCCCACAGCAGCCCACCAAAGCCAGACUUGGAAUUCAACAGCUGGAAAUUACCAGUGGCUGUUAAGCAAGUGGACCACUGCACUCAGUGGUCUACAGUUUUAAUUAACAGUGACUGAUUACCUCAUUCUGGACGAAGUAAGUGGUAAUAACCUGUGUGGUAAUUAUUUAACUUCUGCUAAAUAUGUCUAGUUCCUAAAUGAAUUAAAGGCAUUGGCUUAUGUAUUUCCCCCAAA